rnacentral:rRNA from 1 species
GACGAACGCUGGCGGCGUGCUUAACACAUGCAAGUCGAACGGAAAGGCCCUGCUUUUGUGGGGUGCUCGAGUGGCGAACGGGUGAGUAACACGUGAGUAACCUGCCCUUGACUUUGGGAUAACUUCAGGAAACUGGGGCUAAUACCGGAUAGGAGCUCCUGCUGCAUGGUGGGGGUUGGAAAGUUUCGGCGGUUGGGGAUGGACUCGCGGCUUAUCAGCUUGUUGGUGGGGUAGUGGCUUACCAAGGCUUUGACGGGUAGCCGGCCUGAGAGGGUUACCGGCCACAUUGGGACUGAGAGACGGCCCAGACUCCUACGGGAGGCAGCAGUGGGGAAUAUUGCACAAUGGGCGGAAGCCUGAUGCAGCAACGCCGCGUGCGGGAUGACGGCCUUCGGGUUGUAAACCGCUUUCGCCUGUGACGAAGCGUGAGUGACGGUAAUGGGUAAAGAAGCACCGGCUAACUACGUG